rnacentral:tRNA from 1 species
GGCGGCGUACCCAAGCGGUUAAGGGAGAGGUCUGCAAAACCUCCAUGCACCGGUUCGAAUCCGGUCGCCGCCU